GUUGACCUCGAAUCAGGUAGGACUACCCGCUGAACUUAAGCAUAUCAAUAAGCGGAGGAAAAGAAACCAACAGGGAUUGCCCCAGUAACGGCGAGUGAAGCGGCAACAGCUCAAAUUUGAAAUCUGGCUCCUAGAGCCCGAGUUGUAAUUUGUAGAGGAUGCUUUUGAUGCGGUGCCUUCCGAGUUCCCUGGAACGGGACGCCAUAGAGGGUGAGAGCCCCGUCUGGUCGGAUGCCAAAUCUCUGUAAAGCUCCUUCGACGAGUCGAGUAGUUUGGGAAUGCUGCUCAAAAUGGGAGGUAUAUGUCUUCUAAAGCUAAAUAUUGGCCAGAGACCGAUAGCGCACAAGUAGAGUGAUCGAAAGAUGAAAAGCACUUUGAAAAGAGGGUUAAAUAGUACGUGAAAUUGUUGAAAGGGAAGCGCCUAUGACCAGACUUGGGCCCGGUGAAUCAUCCAGCGUUCUCGCUGGUGCACUUUGCCGGGCACAGGCCAGCAUCAGUUUGUCUUGGGGGAAAAAGGUUUCGGGAACGUGGCUCCCUCGGGAGUGUUAUAGCCCGUUGCAUAAUACCCUGAGACGGACUGAGGUUCGCGCAUCUGCAAGGAUGCUGGCGUAAUGGUCAUCAGCGACCCGUCUUGAAACACGGACCAAGGAGUCGUCUUCGUAUGCGAGUGUUCGGGUGUAAAACCCCUACGCGUAAUGAAAGUGAACGCAGGUGAGAGCUUCGGCGCAUCAUCGACCGAUCCUGAUGUUCUCGGAUGGAUUUGAGUAAGAGCAUACGGGGCCGGACCCGAAAGAAGGUGAACUAUUCCUGUAUAGGGUGAAGCCAGAGGAAACUCUGGUGGAGGCUCGCAGCGGUUCUGACGUGCGAAUCGAUCGUCAAAUAUGGGAAUGGGGGCGAAAGACUAAUCGAACCUUCUAGUAGCUGGUUUCCGCCGAAGUUUCCCUCAGGAUAGCAGUGUUGAACUCAGUUUUAUGAGGUAAAGCGAAUGAUUAGGGACUCGGGGGCGCUAUUUAGCCUUCAUCCAUUCUCAAACUUUAAAUAUGUAAGAAGCCCUUGUUGCUUAAUUGAACGUGGGCAUUCGAAUGUAUCAACACUAGUGGGCCAUUUUUGGUAAGCAGAACUGGCGAUGCGGGAUGAACCGAACGCGAGGUUAAGGUGCCGGAGUGGACGCUCAUCAGACACCACAAAAGGCGUUAGUACAUCUUGACAGCAGGACGGUGGCCAUGGAAGUCGGAAUCCGCUAAGGACUGUGUAACAACUCACCUGCCGAAUGUACUAGCCCUGAAAAUGGAUGGCGCUCAAGCGUCCCACCAAUACCUCGCCCUCAGGGUAGAAACGAUGCCCUGAGGAGUAGGCGGACGUGGAGGUCAGUGACGAAGCCUAGGGCGUGAGCCCGGGUCGAACGGCCUCUAGUGCAGAUCUUGGUGGUAGUAGCAAA
rnacentral:rRNA from 1 species